AACGCAUAUUGCACUCUCUGGCUCUCCAGAGAGUAUGCCUGUUUGAGUAUCAGUUUAAAUCUCUCACCCUCAAUUGGGGGAUGAGGAAUUGAGCAAUCCGCUGGCGUUGAAUUGUUUACGCGAUUUGGCGAUUUAACGCGGUUGCUUGAAAUGUAUAGCUAAGCGGUAUUGACCACUGCUUAAGAUGACUAGGCGUAUUAGUUUCCCAUUUGGGAAUCCACUCGUGCGCCGGUGUAUUGGUCUCUAAAGCCUUUGUGUUGGUUGAUCGCUGUGCUUUCCUAAAUGUUCUUCGGAUCAUUUACUUAGUUUGGCUUGCGGUUAGCAUUCCGAACUUGAUCUUGAUCUCAAAUCAGGCAAGACUACCCGCUGAAUUUAA
rnacentral:misc_RNA from 1 species